AGUGAACGCUGGCGGUAGGCCCAACACAUGCAAGUCGAACGGCAGCACAGUAAGAGCUUGCUCUUACGGGUGGCGAGUGGCGGACGGGUGAGGAAUACAUCGGAAUCUACUUUUUCGUGGGGGAUAACGUAGGGAAACUUACGCUAAUACCGCAUACGACCUACGGGUGAAAGCAGGGGAUCUUCGGACCUUGCGCGAUUGAAUGAGCCGAUGUCGGAUUAGCUAGUUGGCGGGGUAAAGGCCCACCAAGGCGACGAUCCGUAGCUGGUCUGAGAGGAUGAUCAGCCACACUGGAACUGAGACACGGUCCAGACUCCUACGGGAGGCAGCAGUGGGGAAUAUUGGACAAUGGGCGCAAGCCUGAUCCGGCCAUACCGCGUGGGUGAAGAAGGCCUUCGGGUUGUAAAGCCCUUUUGUUGGGAAAGAAAAGCAGCAGGUUAAUACCCCGCUGUUCUGACGGUACCCAAAGAAUAAGCACCGGCUAACUUCGUG
rnacentral:rRNA from 1 species